rnacentral:rRNA from 1 species
UGGCGGCAGGCCUAACACAUGCAAGUCGAGCGGUAGAGAGAAGCUUGCUUCUCUUGAGAGCGGCGGACGGGUGAGUAAUACCUAGGAAUCUGCCUGAUAGUGGGGGAUAACGUUCGGAAACGGACGCUAAUACCGCAUACGUCCUACGGGAGAAAGCAGGGGACCUUCGGGCCUUGCGCUAUCAGAUGAGCCUAGGUCGGAUUAGCUAGUUGGUGAGGUAAUGGCUCACCAAGGCUACGAUCCGUAACUGGUCUGAGAGGAUGAUCAGUCACACUGGAACUGAGACACGGUCCAGACUCCUACGGGAGGCAGCAGUGGGGAAUAUUGGACAAUGGGCGAAAGCCUGAUCCAGCCAUGCCGCGUGUGUGAAGAAGGUCUUCGGAUUGUAAAGCACUUUAAGUUGGGAGGAAGGGCAGUUACCUAAUACGUGAUUGUCUUGACGUUACCGACAGAAUAAGCACCGGCUAACUCUGUGCCAGCAGCCGCGGUAAUACAGAGGGUGCAAGCGUUAAUCGGAAUUACUGGGCGUAAAGCGCGCGUAGGUGGUUUGUUAAGUUGAAUGUGAAAUCCCCGGGCUCAACCUGGGAACUGCAUCCAAAACUGGCAAGCUAGAGUAUGGUAGAGGGUAGUGGAAUUUCCUGUGUAGCGGUGAAAUGCGUAGAUAUAGGAAGGAACACCAGUGGCGAAGGCGACUACC